AUGGGCGAAAGCCUGAUCCAGACAAUGCCGCGUGAGUGAAGAAGGCCUUCGGGUUGUAAAGCUCUUUUGUCAGGGAAGAAACGGUGAGAGCUAAUAUCUCUUGCUAAUGACGGUACCUGAAGAAUAAGCACCGGCUAACUACGUGCCAGCAAGCCCGCGGGUAAUACGUAGGUGCAAGCGUUAAUCGUGAAUUACUGGGCGUAAAGCGUGCGCAGGCGGUUUUGUAAGUCUGAUGUGAAAUCCCCGGGCUCAACCUGGGAAUUGCAUAGGAGACUGCAAAGCUAGAAUCUGGCAGAGGGGGGUAGAAUUCCACGUGUAGCAAGUGAAAUGCGUAGAUAUGUGGAGGAACACCGAUGGCGAAGGCAGCCCCCUGGGUCAAGAUUGACGCUCAU
rnacentral:rRNA from 1 species